UCCUCUUUACAGAGGCAGUUUGUUCCGAGUCCCCGACAUUACUCGCUGGUAACAGAACAUGAGGGUUGCGCUCGUUGCGGGACUUAACCCAACAUUUCACAACACGAGCUGACGACAGCCAUGCGCCACCUGUGUAUCACCCUCGAAGGCGACUACUUUUCGGUAGCUUGCAGAUACAUGUCAAGCCCUGGUAAGGUUCUUCGCGUUGCAUCGAAUUAAGCCAUAUGCUCCACCGCUUGUGCGGGCCCCCGCCAAUUCCUUUGAGUUUCAACCUUGCGGCCGUAGUCCCCAGGCGGUUCACUUAAUGCGUUAGCUCCGGCACGGAGGGAGUCGACACCACCCACACCUAGCACCCAUCGUUUACGGCGUGGACUAC
rnacentral:misc_RNA from 1 species